GGUUCCACUACUCCUGUUUGCUAAACCCUAUGUGGCAGCCAGAAGUCUUGUGCAUUUUUUCCUUAGAAGUACAUUCUUUAAGUAUAUAAGGCAGAGAAAUAUGAAUGAAAAUAUCCUCCUGUAAAAUUCUACCAUCAGUCAAGUUGUCUAAAAACUUAAUGUAUAGAUUUUUCAGAAGAACUUAAUCAAUGAUGGAGCUCUCUUGUUGAAUUUAAUGGAAAUGUAAAAAAAUUCUAAUAAUGUGCAAUUUAAAACUUAGGUAGUAGUGUAUUAAAAUAGAUGCAUAAACUCAUAAAAAAAAAUAAAAGGACACAUUUUCACAUAAUAUGUUGAAACUUUCUUAGCCACUGACACCUGGUCUUAGUAUUUAAAAUUCCAGUUUGUGGUAUGUGAUUUGGGAUCCAGCUGGAGUUUUGCAUCUUCCUCCUUCUCCCUCUCAGGGUAUAUAAAAGUUUGCUGCAUGUUGGACUGAAAGGAUGAAGCAGAACCCAGAACAGGUGGGGUUCUGCAGGAUUCUGGUCCAUCAGGGAGAGAGUGCCAGGUGUGUAAGGGCAGGAAGGGAGAAGGCUUUCUCCUAGCAUCUUAGUGUUAUAUCUCUUUUAGGCAAAAGCCUUUCCUGGUGGUCUUUAAUGAAACAGCUCUCUGAGGAGAUAUUAGCUUGUGCAUAUUUUUUUAUUCAGGGUGGCCUAGGACACAUACACUUUUUUUUUUCUGGGUGAACCAAGGGUUAUAUGGUUUUGUGGAAGAGGCUAAGUAUAUCCAGGGGAAGCAAAGGGCAUAAGCUGAAGACUAAGGUUCUGAGAUGCCUCCUUAGCAUGGAGAGGCAUUCUAGGAAUCUCAGGUGCAGAGCUACAUGAAGGUAGGCAGUGGUGUCCAGGAUUCCCCAAGUACACAAGAGAAAGUCCCACUGUCAAAGGGGGUCAUCAUUGUGCACCGAGCUCAUGGCUUUUUGGUAUUGUUAGACUUUGAUCUUAGCAAUAGGGUUUCCCAGGAUCUGUUACUUCUAUGGAAAACAUAUUUUUAAAGGCAAUAUAAAAACUUACUGACCACCAAGGCAUAAUUAUUAAAUCAUGAAGAAAGUCAACAGAAAAGGAACAGAAUUAAGCAACUAUGUUUUCAACAUGUAGCAUGGACUCUAAUAUGACAAACUCCAUUUGUUGGUGGUAGGUAGUACUGGUUUUGCUUGCAGGAUUUAUUCAGAAAAUGCAAAUUAAGAGAAAGGGGAAAACACUAUCAUGAAUAUUUAGUGUGACUAUAAGUUCCUCAGUACCCCCUAGUUACCUUAGGAAAGACAUUUCACACCAUAAAAAUUUUGACAUUCACAAUUUACCUAUAGUAGGUAUUCUUUACUAUACUAAGUAAAUGAAGCACUCAUAUUUAGAAAUAACUGUGUGCUAUUAGUAUUCCAGUAAUCAGUAUCCAGAAGCUAUGAUUUGCAUUUCAAACUGCAAUUUAAGUGAACUAAUUUGUUUUGCAUUCAUUAGUUUCUCAGUUUUAGUAGCACAAUCACAAUCAUUCUCUUAGGGUCAAAGUAAAUUUGAAAUGCAUUGGAUGGACUGAUACGUGUCACAGAAACAAAUCCAAAUAGCUUGACUGCUGAGAGAUACAUUGCCUGUGUGUGUGUCAUCAGACAUUCCUCCUGAAUGGUUAGCUCAAAGAUGUCUUAUGAACUCAUGAAUUAGUGUCUAGACUUAGGGCUGUGAAAAACUAUCCAACCCAUAUGUAAAUAUUAAGUGUGGACAGCUCUGUAUUUAUUAAAGAGUAAGAGAAUCAGUCUCUUAAGGAAUGAUGGCUGACAGCUGUCACAAAUUGAAUGAGUAAACUUUGGCUCGACGUGGAACCCUCAUUUUAGAAAUACUUUACAUUACUCUUUCACCAGUGUUACGAUAAUCAGUGGACACUAGAUUCAGUAUUUACAUGAAACACCCAGUUAUUCAUCAAGAUGUUUUAUAAAAACAGGAUAGUGAAAUCAGUAAAAGCUUAUAAAAUAUAGUUAGAGACAUAUGGUAAAAUAACCUUUGAUUUGUGAGUAUUUAUCUUUGGAAAAUAUUUUAAUGGAAUCAACCUCUGUCAAAGUCCAGUUUUCUCUUGAAUGGAGCUCACAGUUAUUAAUCUAGUGUUUAUCCUCAUUCAUCUUUUUUUUUUUUCAUGAAAAUUCUACUUCCAAACAGGUUUUUUGAGAGCAGCUUUCAAAAAGGGACUGGGUUGAAGCCAUAAAAUAAAAGUCACUAAAAAAAAAUUAACAAAGAAGCCAUAGUACUAGGAGCUGGACUCCAGCUUCAUGAGGACAGUCUGAGACAACCUUGGUAGCAGUUGGGUGGGUUUGAGGGUUUGUGUUUUCAGAAAAUAUACUAUCAUAACAACCUCUUAGCUUUGCUUAGUUCGUGCUCUCUGCUGACAAGCGCUUGUUCUCUGUAGCAUAUUUUCCAGCUCUAUUCCAGAUUUAAGUGAGCCAAGCACUGUCCUCAUGUUUUCAAAAGGUCCACCUGACAAGAUCCCUCCACCUACAAGACCUCUACCGACAGUGCCCCCGCACCGAUCUGUUCCUCCAGCAGACCCAAGGAGACAUGACAGGCCCAAACCUCCUCGGCCUCCCACUGGCAGACCCUCCUAUCCAGGAGCCAAACCCAACAUCUGUGAUGGGAACUUCAACACUCUAGCUAUUCUUCGAAGGGAGAUGUUUGUUUUCAAGGUAGGAGACCUUGGUUUAUUUUUUUUUUUAGAGAAGAUAAAGUGUCUAGUGUUGUUUUAGAAAACAAGUUCUCAUUCAUUCUAACUACUCUACCUUCCAGGACCUCUCGCAGUUAGGAGUCAAAAAAAAAAAAAAAGCAUUCUAAAAAUCACAUGCGCAAAUGGGCGUCGAUUUCUAGCAGAAGAUUGCUAUGACGUUCUAUUUUGGGAAUACACUUCUGUCAGCAGGAGCUGAAAUGCCUGGAAAUGUGAGGUUGAAAGUACUGCAUGUUAGGAAGAGAUAAAAUAGCAGAAUUUAAAUCAUGAAUGGGAUCUAAUAGCGAUGAUUUGCCCGUCAGCUUAGCCACUUCCCAGAAUGCUGUUGCUCAGAUGUCUUACUAUAUAAAUCUUAAAAUGUCUCUCUAAUUUGAGGUGACAAUUACUGCAUUGCUUGGCUGUCGUUGUCGUUGUCAUUGUUGUUGUUGUUGUUGAUUUGCUUUUGUGAUUUUGUUUGGGGUUCUCCACUUGUAAAAUCUCUAGUCCUCCAUCAUUUCCAGAGGAUAGAACUUGGGAUGUUUGUUUGUUUGUUUGUUUCGUAGGCAGGAUACUUAAUUUGUAUUUGCAAUUAUGUAAUAUCAAAUUACAUUUUUGUAUUUGAAAAAAAAUGUGCUUGAGCAAGUUCAUUAUCAAUAACACCAGUGAAAAGUACAUGCAAAGAGAAAAUAGGUAUACAUACAUACAUACAUACAUACACACACACACACACAUAAUAUAUAUAUAUGUGUAUGUGUGUGUAUGCAUGAACAAGGGAAAUAUAUAUAUAUAAUGUGUGUGUGUGUGUGUGUGUGUGUGUGUGUGUGUGUGUGUGUGUGUGUAUGCAUGAACAAGGGAAAAGUAGGUGAUUUGUUCUGCACAAUUAUAAUGGCUAAU
rnacentral:lncRNA from 1 species